rnacentral:lncRNA from 12 species
CCCACUGUUUCUAUUUAUUUCAAUAUUUACCUACCAAAUAUUUACUCUUUUUCCUCUUCCUGUGAAUUGUCUUCCUUCCCUUUGUGGUCCCAGACCCCUGCCCACUCCUCCUCCGCUCUGGGUGCCAUCUGAGCCUCAGUUGCCUGCCUGACUGCCUAUGGAGCCCCUUAGAUUUUGAUUUUUCUCUUGUUAAUCUGCCUCAUGGCAAUUUAAUUCACAAUCCAGCCAAAAAAAGAAAAAAAGACUCUUGAAAGAUAGAGGAAAUUUUUUCUUCCCCAACAGGACCAAGAUGAAAGUAUAUCACUAAAAAUGUCUUUUAUCCAGACAGGCCGGAUCAAUCAACGAUCAUUCUCUGAGCAUUUCCUGUCACCCUUCUGUUGUGCCCUCAAUGCCUGGAAGAAAAGCCAAGUACUUUUCAUUGUGGUAAAAUAUAUAUAACAAAAAAAUUUACCAUUUUAACUAUUUUUUUAACUGUACCAUUCAGUGGCAUGAGGUACAUUCACAUUGUUGUGCCACUAUCAGCCCCAUCCAUCUUCAGAACUCUUUUAUCACCCCACACACUGAAACUCUGUACCCCCAGCCCCUGUCAACCGCUAUUCCACUUUCUGUCUCUACAAAUUGGCUAUUCUAGGAGUCUUACGUAAAUGGAAUCAUAAGCUGUUUCUUCUUUUGCGUCUGGCUUCUUUCACUUAGAAUAUCGUUAAGGCUCAUCCAUGUGGAAGCAUGUGUCAGAAAGUCAUUCCCUCUUAGGGCUGAAUCAGAUUCCCUUGUGGGUAUAUGUUACAUUCUGUUUAUCCGUUUGUCCAUCAGUGGACAUUUGGGUUGUUGCCCCCUUUUGGCUACUGCGAAUAAUGCUACUAUGAACAUGGGUGUACAAAUAGUCAUUAAGUCCUUGUUUUCAGUUUCUUUGGUGGCAAAGUCCAUUUUCAGAAAGAGAACAAAGAGAAGAUUGAGAACCCACCAGGGCACGGAAGACACUACGGCAGCAUUUUCUUACCUGUUCCAUUCCGCCAUCUCAAGUCCAUCUCUGAGUCCGCCACCAAGCCCCUUGCCUCCUGCCUGCCUCCCCUAUCCAUUCCGUGUCAUUCCCAUGGCACCUCUCGUCCCAGAUCCAUCAUCAAGGGCAGUGGGGAGCUUUAAGGAUGAUGAAACAGCCCCUGCCCUAGACUGCCCUGGGGACGUGGACUCUCAGGCCCAUGCUGUCGUGUUCUCCGUCUCGUCCGCUGCAGCCCUCAUCGUUGGGCACCUUGGGAAACGGGAAUCAAAGACUUGCUUGCUGGGGGGCAGGCUAGCCACAAGCCAUAGGCCAGGUUUUCAAAAGGAAGCAGUAUAAUUACAAUUCUACAAAUCUUAUAAAGGAACUACCAGCCACACCGGAACUAGAUGAUUUGAAAUGUUUCCUACUACACACUCCUAGAAAUGCUGAGCUUUCAAGAAGAAAAAAAGAAAAGAAAUCUCCAGGUACCAAGUCAAGAGCCAAGACUUUAUCUUGCUUCAGGAAGCAAGAAACAAUGGUGAGUAAAGAAACAGGUAAGCCAGGGCAUAAGCCUACAGAUAAUAAAACUAAUUUAUACAACUGAUUUACGAUAUGU